AUGAAAACCGCUGCCAGGGGGGCAUUUGAACUCCGCCGCUCGCUGUCUCGCUCUCCCCUCUCUGCCCGGUGCACCUCUCUCCCCCCCUCCCGGCCGGCGCGCUCUCCGGCGCGCUCGCUCGCUCUCCCGCUACCCGACGAGUCCUCAACAAGUUGGAGGAAGGCAGGAACGCAGGGGUUAAGCUCGGAAAGCAGCAAUUACCAAGAUCGUGACCCUCCCACACAGUACAGUAACUUAUAUACUUACCUGGAACAGCCUGCUUUGCCGCUGGGCAAACACCCGUUGGGGGCAGGGAGGGGCGGGAGGGGAGCGGGCCGGUUGGAAAGGGACUCCUUCAAGCUGGCUGCAGUGCGGACGGGACCAGCGCGCUCGCGGGGCCUGCGGACCGAGGUAGUUGAACCUGUCUGGACUACUGGAGGUCUGCACAAGGGGUGGCCACUGAAGGAGGGUAUCUCAGAGGCCACGGGAACUGAAGAGUCUGAACCAGUGAGCUCUGGAGUCCCAGGAAAUAAAAGUCGAGUUUUGUCUUCUGAAGAACCUUGGGGACUUUUUUAAAGGCGAAACUUUUCAUCUUUAGGAUUGAACACCUUCUCACCUGAAUUUAAAGGAGAGAUUAAGUGCAAUGUUUUGAGCUAUGCUUAAAUGAAGAUGAAAUAGAAGAAGACAGAACUGUUAAAAAUACGUAAGUUUUAUUACAUGGCCAAAUGAAGGAUUCAGCUUUGUUGUCAUGGUAUUCUUAAAAAUUCCUAGCUUCUAUGAAAUUCCCUAAUUAUGGAAUUUUCUUUCAUUGUAUUGAACUACUCCUGAUUUCAUCAUGAAAAUUUGAUCUGAAACUCAAUUUACAGAAAUACUGAAAAUGAAUUUAAAAUUAAAUGGGACCAUCUGUAUACUAAUAUGAUUCAAUGUUGUUGAUUCACAUUUUCUCCAGAUUAAAGACUGUUCUGAACUCUAAGUCUUUGAAAUAAAUGAGACUGAAAUUUAAUGUGGUUGUGUCUG
rnacentral:lncRNA from 1 species